rnacentral:tRNA from 1 species
GCUGUGGCUCAGGGGCAGAGCAUCCACAUUGCAUGCCGACAGUCCCAGGUUCAAUCACUGGCAUCACCA